rnacentral:lncRNA from 1 species
CAUUCGAUGAGUUUUCUUAUGACGUGUAGGGAUAUCAUUAUGAUCUGGUUUCAUAAAAAAAAAGAAUAAAUUUUUAUAAAUUAUUUUGAUCAUAAAUAUAUUUAGAUUAGAUCUAAAGUAAUUUAUAAUUUAUUAUAAUAAGAUAAAUUUAGAUAUAAAAUUAUUUUAAAAUUUGAAUAGUAUGUUACAUUAGAUGUAAUCAAUCUGGAUUUAAAAAUUAUCAUGAUGCAUAUGAUAUAUGUAUGAAGUUUAAAUCAUAUAUAUGUAUGUU